GCCGCCUGAUGUAAAAACGUAAAAGAACAAGAUGAAUAGAGGGUAUAUUCGUCAACUCAUCUGCUUUUUUCCUGCCAUUAUAUGGUUCUUCUGCCAGACGAACUACUGGGAUCAAAAACUUGGAAGAAAAAUCUUCACCAACUGUCCGAUUCUUUGGCCCCAGAAACUGGUGCCUGUGAAACUGCUUAGAUAUCACUUCUGAAGAGUUGGAUGAUUAUAGCCGGCCAGAGUUCUUUUUUCUUCUUCUGAGAAUCUGCUGUUGGCUUUUGUUUACCUUAGUGAAUCUCUCCCAUAGUUCACUCCCAAUAUAUUCACAUGCUUUAGAAUAUUUCUGUGUCAUGUACAUCUGGCUAAAUAGAAAGUAAAUCUAUGUAAGUUGUAGUUCUUAUGGAAUAUAUGAUCUAUUUUUUGGUUCGUGCUCAUCACUUUUGGGACUUAAAUAAGGGUUGUGAAAAUAUAAUCGGGACUUGUUUUGGGUCA